AAUAGGAGAAUGACAAAUCGGAUUUUUCCUCUUGAUUUUUAACUUUUUCCUCUUGACAAAAUUCAAAUCUAAUUAAAAAUGCUAAAAGUUAGGAGGAAAAAUCUUAUUUGUCAUUCUCCUAUU
rfam:Gossypium raimondii Chr05_contig_26, whole genome shotgun sequence.